ACUCUCACUCAGCUCGGAGGACUGGAGGAGGUUUUACUCUUCACCACCAACCAGCUCAGUACACAGUGACGUUACAGUAGCUCGGACGUUCUGGAGCAGAGAUGAAGGGAAAAGGUUUUGGAGGAAUGGAGUGACAAAUCUUGAGAGAAGAGUAACUAGGUUAGCUACAAAUCUCACAUAGAGACAUCGCCAAGUUACCAAGCAACAUCAAACCAAGAAUGAGAUGCACUAAAAGUCAGGCUGACCAAUCCAACCAGAGCUUUGUUGUCAUGGUUGCAGCUCAAACAAGCACGGAUCAACAUGUCGAAGUGGCUUAGCAGAGCAUAAAAGCUAAUAAUGAUAAGACGAGCUAUUACAAUCUGUCUAUAAAAAUUCAGAGGUUCAAGAAACUAAAUGGCAGCCCACAGCUGAAAGGCUGAAGAAUAGCGGUCCAUCGAAAGUGAGAUGGGUCUUCAGCGAUGUGCUUGUCCCACAUAUGGUUCUGCUGCGCUCUUAGAGGCCUAUAAAAAACUGCAUGUGCUUUUUCCUUUUUUUUGCUGAGUGCGUGAGCAUAUAGCUACAAUAUGCUGCAUGAAAUUCAUAAUUAAUUAAUGCUCGCUACACAUUGAAGAUCAAAAAACAGUCAUGGGCAGUGAACAUUGAAGUGAAUUUAAAUACGUGAGUGUUCAGUGGAUGUGCUGAUUUUGCAUGUGAGCAUUCACAGGGGAGGGGUGGCAUGCUUGAAAAUUCUAUUUGCAUUUUAUAUAGGAAGUAAUAAAGAAUUCCAAAAAUGUUUUAUUCAGGCCA